AGCAGCCGCGGUAAUUCCAGCUCCAAUAGCGUAUAUUAAAGUUGUUGCAGUUAAAAAGCUCGUAGUUGAAUUUCGGGAUUGGCGCAUCGGUCGUGCCUCACGGGGUAUGAACUGGUGCAGUCAAUUUCUCACCUUCUGGAGAACCGCGAUGUCCUUAAUUGGAUGCCGCGGGGAACCAGGACCUUUACUUUGAAAAAUUAGAGUGUUUAAAGCAGGCAUUUUUGCUUGAAUACAUUAGCAUGGAAUAAUAAAUAGGACGGCAUGGUUCUAUUUUGUUGGUUUCUAGGACCACCGUAAUGAUUAAUAGGGAUAGUUGGGGGCAUUAGUAUUCAAUUGUCAGAGGUGAAAUUCUUGGAUUUAUUGAAGACUAACUACUGCGAAAGCAUUUGCCAAGGAUGUUUUCAUUAAUCAAGAACGAAAGUUAGGGGAUCGAAGACGAUCAGAUACCGUCGUAGUCUUAACCAUAAACUAUGCCGACUAGGAAUCAGACGAUGUAAUUUUUUAAUGACUCGUUUGGCAC
rnacentral:rRNA from 1 species